rnacentral:lncRNA from 1 species
AAAUGAAAUCAAAUUUUAUAAAACCAUAGGAACUGGGUAUUCAGUUUAUUCUAUUUUCCUACCUUUACAGGAAGAAGCCAUGAAUUUAAUAACUAGAGAAACAAUGUAUGAAUGGAAAAUACAAACUGAGAUACAGAUAAGUCAAUCUUGGGAAGAAGGCUUGAAACUGAAUGACAAUGGCUCACAGAAAUCAUCCUCUCUAAAGUGCAUUGAUUUAACACCAGUAUCCUCAAUGCCUUCUUCCAUCAAGAAGACUGGGAAGCAGUUUUUCUCUCCAUCAUUACAAACUUGUGUGAGUUGCACUGGUUCUCCUUCAAGUCACAUUCCCAGUCCUACGCAACAAUACAUCAUGUAAGUUUAUGUUUUAUGAAAAUACCAAAUUGCUUAUAAAACAAGAAUUAUAGAAACUUAAAAGAAAUUAUAGCUCCAAGUUUUGUGCCAACCAAAGAAGUGACUUCUUUUUAGGGAAAUUAAAAUGUCAUUGUUUCGGCCGGGCAUGGUGGCUCAUGCCUGUAAUCCUAGCACUUUGGGAGGCCAAGGCGGGCGGAUUACCUGAGGUCAGGAGUUCAAGACCAGCCUGAGCAACAUGGAGAAACCCCGUCUCUACUAAAAAUACAAAAUUAGCCAGGCGUGGUGGCUCAUGUCUGUAAUACCAGCUACUAGGGAGGCUGAGGCAGGAGAAUUGCUUGAACCCAGGAGGUAGAGGUUUGCGGUGAGCCAAGAUCACGCCAUUGCACUCCAGCCUGGGCAACAAGAGCAAAACUCCAUCUCAAAAAAAAAAAGUCACUGUUUCAGUUUAUCAUUUUGUAUAUUGAAAAAGUCAGGUGACUAAGAACAUAAGAAGAAUUUAGUAAUUCCUUCCCCCUGCUAAUACAUAAUCUUUCUCUAACCAAGUUUGUUAAUAAGGAUCAGAGCUAUCUUUAGAACUUUAAACAACUUCAACCGUGAUUCUCACCUUCAUUCAAGGCAAGUCCCAGCCAGGACUAUAGGUUUUUGUAGACUCUAGGAUUCAAAAUCCUGAAUCCUUGAGAAUUAGAAGAUAGUUUGC